UAGCAUGUCGACACUUCCCAGAAUCCACAUCUCUAAACAAUUAUUUUCUUUCCUUUAACCUAAUGAAGCAACGGUGCUAUAAAUAGAUGGUAUUAUUGGCUAUUAAUCUUCACCUCAAGCUAUCCAUUAAUCAACCAUACAUUUAGCAUUAGAUAAGCCUUAGUAGUCUCUUCAAUUCAUUCAUUCAUCGCAAUGGCCGCUGCUAAGACUACAUUGGUUUUCCUUAUCUUUGCCUUGAUCGCUGUUUCUGCAAACUUGCAGAUGGCAUCCGCAGUGGGGGUUCAAUGCGCUACUGACUUGUCCUUGAAUCUUAAUAUACUCAACGGGUGCACUUCGGACACUCAGUGUCUUGAUGCAUGUAACGCGCAGUGCAUGGCAAAGUUUAAUGUCAAUGCAUCAGCUUCAGCUUGUGUUGCUGGUCUCCUACAGCUACUAGUUAAGAGUUGUUCUUGCUGUUGUGCCUCAAUCUAGAGUAUUCGCUACUCUAUGAGGAGCUAGUUUAUGACAUCCUCCUAGCUAUUAAGCUAGUUAAAGGGUUAGAUAACUAUUGCAACUCCAACUAAAAGGAACAAGAGAAAUUUACAAAAUUAGAAUAAAAGCAGCAUUUUAAUUCCCUAAAAACAUUAAUCUUAUAUAAGUGUGUGUCGCUAUACUUAUAUAGCUAAAUACACUUAAUUAGCUGCUAGUUAGAGUCAGUCGUGUAUGGUUGUGUUCGUCGUGCAGUAUUGAUGUGGAUCAUCAUCUUAAUCUCACUUAAGCUAGUUAUCUUCAUCUUGUAUGUGUUAUUUGGUGAUUCGAUCAUCAUUAAUAUGUAAUUUGUACGUCUUCUUAUGAUUC